UAGGGAAGUCUUCGGCAAUGGACGAAAGUCUGACCGAGCAACGCCGCGUGAGUGAAGAAGGUUUUCGGCUCGUAAAGCUCUGUUGUUAAAGAAGAACACGUAUGAGAGUAACUGUUCAUACGUUGACGGUAUUUAACCAGAAAGUCACGGCUAACUACGUGCCAA
rnacentral:rRNA from 1 species